AGGCGCUUGAGAGAACUCGGGUGAAGGAACUAGGCAAAAUGGUGCCGUAACUUCGGGAGAAGGCACGCUGACACGUAGGUGAAGUGAUUUACUCAUGGAGCUGAAGUCAGUCGAAGAUACCAGCUGGCUGCAACUGUUUAUUAAAAACACAGCACUGUGCAAACACGAAAGUGGACGUAUACGGUGUGACGCCUGCCCGGUGCCGGAAGGUUAAUUGAUGGGGUCAGCGCAAGCGAAGCUCCUGAUCGAAGCCCCGGUAAACGGCGGCCGUAACUAUAACGGUCCUAAGGUAGCGAAAUUCCUUGUCGGGUAAGUUCCGACCUGCACGAAUGGCGUAAUGAUGGCCAGGCUGUCUCCACCCGAGACUCAGUGAAAUUGAACUCGCUGUGAAGAUGCAGUGUACCCGCGGCAAGACGGAAAGACCCCGUGAACCUUUACUAUAGCUUGACACUGAACAUUGAGCCUUGAUGUGUAGGAUAGGUGGGAGGCUUUGAAGUGUGGACGCCAGUCUGCAUGGAGCCGACCUUGAAAUACCACCCUUUAAUGUUUGAUGUUCUAACGUGGACCCGUGAUCCGGGUUGCGGACAGUGUCUGGUGGGUAGUUUGACUGGGGCGGUCUCCUCCUAAAGAGUAACGGAGGAGCACGAAGGUUGGCUAAUCCUGGUCGGACAUCAGGAGGUUAGUGCAAUGGCAUAAGCCAGCUUGACUGCGAGCGUGACGGCGCGAGCAGGUGCGAAAGCAGGUCAUAGUGAUCCGGUGGUUCUGAAUGGAAGGGCCAUCGCUCAACGGAUAAAAGGUACUCCGGGGAUAACAGGCUGAUACCGCCCAAGAGUUCAUAUCGACGGCGGUGUUUGGCACCUCGAUGUCGGCUCAUCACAUCCUGGGGCUGAAGUAGGUCCCAAGGGUAUGGCUGUUCGCCAUUUAAAGUGGUACGCGAGCUGGGUUUAGAACGUCGUGAGACAGUUCGGUCCCUAUCUGCCGUGGGCGCUGGAGAACUGAGGGGGGCUGCUCCUAGUACGAGAGGACCGGAGUGGACGCAUCACUGGUGUUCGGGUUGUCAUGCCAAUGGCACUGCCCGGUAGCUAAAUGCGGAAGAGAUAAGUGCUGAAAGCAUCUAAGCACGAAACUUGCCCCGAGAUGAGUUCUCCCUGAGACUUUAGGUCUCCUGAAGGAACGUUGAAGACGACGACGUUGAUAGGCCGGGUGUGUAAGCGCAGCGAUGCGUUGAGCUAACCGGUACUAAUGAACCGUGAGGCUUAACCUU
rnacentral:rRNA from 2 species